rnacentral:rRNA from 1 species
GACGAACGCUGGCGGCGUGCUUAACACAUGCAAGUCGAACGGACAGGCGCUGCUUUUGUGGGGUUCUCGAGUGCCGAACGGGUGAGUAACACGUGAGUAACCUGCCCUUGUCUUUGGGAUAACUUCAGGAGACUGCGGCUAAUAUCGGAUAGGAGCUCCUGCUGCAUGGUGUGGGUUGGUAAAAUUCGGCGGUUGUGGAUGGACUCGCUGCUUAUCAGCUUGUUGGUGGGGUAGUGGCUUACCAAGGCUUUGAAGGGUAGCCGGCCUGAGAGGGUGACCGGCGACAUUGGGACUGAGAUACGGCCCAGACGCCUACGGGAGGCAGAAGUGGGGAAUAUUACACAAUGGGCGGAAGCCUGAUGCAGCAACGCCGCGUGCGGGAUGACGGCCUUCGGGUUGUAAACCGCUUUCGCCUGUGACGAAGCGUGAGUGACGGUAAUGGGUAAAGAAGCACCGGCUAACUACGUG